rnacentral:rRNA from 1 species
GAUGAACGCUGGCGGCGUGCCUAAUACAUGCAAGUCGAGCGAACAGACGAGGAGCUUGCUCCUCUGACGUUAGCGGCGGACGGGUGAGUAACACGUGGAUAACCUACCUAUAAGACUGGGAUAACUUCGGGAAACCGGAGCUAAUACCGGAUAAUAUAUUGAACCGCAUGGUUCAAUAGUGGAAGACGGUUUUGCUGUCACUUAUAGAUGGAUCCGCGCCGCAUUAGCUAGUUGGUAAGGUAACGGCUUACCAAGGCAACGAUGCGUAGCCGACCUGAGAGGGUGAUCGGCCACACUGGAACUGAGACACGGUCCAGACUCCUACGGGAGGCAGCAGUAGGGAAUCUUCCGCAAUGGGCGAAAGCCUGACGGAGCAACGCCGCGUGAGUGAUGAAGGUCUUCGGAUCGUAAAACUCUGUUAUUAGGGAAGAACAAAUGUGUAAGUAACUAUGCACGUCUUGACGGUACCUAAUCAGAAAGCCACGGCUAACUAUGUG